AGUGAACGCUGGCGGCAGGCCUAACACAUGCAAGUCGAACGGCAGCACGGCAGUAGCAAUACUGUGGGUGGCGAGUGGCGGACGGGUGAGGAAUACAUCGGGAUCUACCCUGUUGUGGGGGAUAACGUAGGGAAACUUACGCUAAUACCGCAUACGAUCUCUGGAUGAAAGCGGGGGACCGCAAGGCCUCGCGCGAUUGGAGCGGCCGAUGGCAGAUUAGGUAGUUGGUGGGGGUAAAAGGCUCACCAAGCCGACGAUCUGUAGCUGGUCUGAGAGGACGACCAGCCACACUGGGACUGAGACACGGCCCAGACUCCUACGGGAGGCAGCAGUGGGGAAUUUUGGACAAUGGGCGAAAGCCUGAUCCAGCCAUUCCGCGUGCAGGAUGAAGGCCCUCGGGUUGUAAACUGCUUUGUACGGAACGAAACGGUCCUGGUUAAUACCUGGGGCUAAUGACGGUACCGUAAGAAUAAGCACCGGCUAACUACGUGCCAGCAGCCGCGGUAA
rnacentral:rRNA from 1 species